CUCUCUCUCUCUCUCUCUCUCUCUCUCUCUCAUUCCAGACGCAAUUUCGUUAGUUUUUAAUUCCUUCUCUUUCUUCUUUUAAUCCAACCGCUAAUAUGAAUUUUUUUUCCUUUUUUCCGUACUACUACUACUAAUACUACUACUAAUACUAAUACUACUACUACUACUACUAGCAUCACCACCACUCCACACAGUAACAGAGAGAGAGAGAGAGAGAGUUCAUAGGAAGGGGGGAAAAAAAAGGUAUUUCACGUAUCCCUCAGUAUUAUCUCAGCAGUCGUAGGGGGAGGACGUGCGCUCUCGCCUCCUCCGUUCCAACCACGCAUACCUAGUGGGCUUUUAAAUCUCCACACCAGUCUUACUAUUAAAAGUGGCAGUGGUGACUUAAGUGUCUUAUAAGUAGCCCAGUGUACUUAAAACCCGCGCCAGAUAAGUGGCCUAGAAAAAUUUUGGCUUUUAAAUUUCGGAAAAGUUUUGAAAAAUUUGUUGUUGUUGUUGUUGUUGUUGUUUGGAAGAAAGGAUUUUAUAACGUACAAGGAAGUGCGUUCAGCUUAUUCCUGCAGUGACAGGUGCAGCUUUUUAAACCCUGGGAGAAGCUACUGCAUUGAUCCCAGAGGCAGCCCACGCCCUCACAUUCACGUCCUGCACGCCCACGCCCACGCUGACCACCAAGGGGACGCGGAGCACGAGCUGAGUGACUUUGAAAAGGAGAAUUUGUUGUUCGCUUUCCCUCAGCCCUCCGUCAGCUGCUUCAGGAGAGAUACCAAGACUGGCACAGACUCCCUGGUUAUCUCUGGCAUGCCCUCAUCCAGUUGAUGUGCGAACACCACUGCAGGGAACUCUGUCGGUGUGUCUGUUCCUUUCUUUAUCAUUUCCAGUGUUCCUGCUCUUGUCAAUGCUGUUCCUGACACUGACACUUCCUGCACUGACACUGUUUAGUUGGGUUAGGUUUGGUUACAUACAUUCCAUUCAUUACCAUCGUCAUUAUUCUCUCAUUUCUCAUUCAUUUAUCAUAAUUUUUCCAUCCACUUGUCACCAUCCUUCCAUUUCUCAUUAAUUUAUCACUUGUUAUCACCAUCCUUUCAUCUCUCAUUUACUAAUAAUUUUUAUUCCCAUGGCCUUGUUGACUGGAUGCUCUCUCUCUCUCUCUCUCUCUCUCUCUCUCUCUCUCUCUCUCUCUCUCUCUCUCUCUCUCUCUCUCUCUCUCUCUCUCUCUCUCUCUCUCUCUCUCUCUCUCUCUCUCUCUCUCUCUCUCUCUCUCUCUCUCUCUCUCUCUCUCUCUCUCUCUCUCUCUCUCAUGGCAUCAAGUAAGCAUUACAUUACAUGUUGCCGAGUUCUUUGGGCAUUGUGAAUGAAGUGGCCUACAGUGGUUUUUUAUUUAUUUAUUUUCUCUCUCUCUCUCUCUCUCUCUCUCUCUCUCUCUCUCUCUCUCUCUCUCUCUCUCUCUCUCUCUCUCUCUCUCUCUCUCUCUCUCUCUCUCUCUCUCUCUCUCUCUCUCUCUUCAAAACAAACAGGAGGUGAAUGAGUGUGAGAGAUUUUCAGGAAAAGUUAAUUUAAGUCCCUGUUUUGAUACAAAGAACAAAAAUCCCUUGUACCCAUGAUGAACUGUGCAUUAUCAUAACACCUAUCAUGUUCUAAAUCAAUUUCCCUCCCAUCUCUAAUAAUCUCUUGAUGACAAAUUAUCAGCAUUCUCAAUCUUCUCCAGAGGCUUUUGUAGUGUCAACCGCAGUAUACUUCUGCAAAAACUGCAUCAUUAUGGCACAUUCCUGGUUCAAAGGCUGUUUGACUGAUACAACCCAGUGCACAGUCCAUCAUGGAUACCUUUUAACAAAACCUACUUUUAUUUCAUGUUUUCAAGUAGCAUAAUUAUGUACUGCUUAAUAAAUGAACACCUGAA